GACGAACGCUGGCGGCACGCUUAACACAUGCAAGUCGAACGAAAAUGUUUCACCGUAGCUUGCUACACCGAGACAUUUUAGUGGCGGACGGGUGAGUAACACGUGAGGAACCUGCCUAUCAGAGAGGGAUACCGUUUGGAAACGAACGUUAAUACCUCAUAACGUAACGAGAUCGCAUGAUAAUGUUACCAAAGAUUUAUCGCUGAUAGAUGGCCUCGCGUCUGAUUAGAUAGUUGGUGAGGUAACGGCUCACCAAGUCGACGAUCAGUAGCCGGACUGAGAGGUUGAACGGCCACAUUGGGACUGAGACACGGCCCAGACUCCUACGGGAGGCAGCAGUGGGGAAUAUUGCACAAUGGAGGAAACUCUGAUGCAGCGAUGCCGCGUGAGGGAAGAAGGUUUUCGGAUUGUAAACCUCUGUCUUCAGGGACGAUAAUGACGGUACCUGAGGAGGAAGCUCCGGCUAACUACGUGCCAGCAGCCGC
rnacentral:rRNA from 1 species